GCCAUCUCUCGGAGCCCCAGAGGACCACUCUACACGGCCUUCCUCCUGCUGGUGUUCAGGUAGGCGCAGCUGAGGGAGCUUUGAGCGCAGGAGCUCCCAGUCACUGGAGUGCCCGAAGGCUGCAGCCUCGUCGUGCUAAGGACUCCGCAGACGUGUAACGAAGAGACAGUCCCUGCCUUGGAGGGGGAUGAGCAAAACCUCCCCAAAGGGGGCUGGGAGCAGCUGUGGCACGGAUCCAUCAGGGUGAUGGAGCCUCUUUGCAAGGACAGCCCUGAGAUCAGCCCGUGGGGUGACUGGGAGCAGCUUCUGCACUGCACUGCUGGAGUCUCCUGUUUAAUGACACCGUGGAACAGUGGCAACAAGUUGCAACUGAUGGAAGGCAACUCCACCUCGGCUCCUUUUGAAACCAGAAACCUGUUCCCUGAGUCCAGACAGGAUCUGAGUCUGGGCCAGCGGGAAUCUUUUACUGGCUGCUACCUUCGUGCUCUCAAGCCCUGCAGAAGGCAAUGUGUCUGCGCAUCACGUGAGGGCUGGAAUGAUGGUCUGAUGUUUAAGAAGUGAGCUACGUUGCAGAAAGGAGUGCAGCUGCAGAUGGGGUGUAGAAAUGCCACCUGCUUCUGCUAUCCUGACGCUCCAGGACGCAGCUAAAAGGAGGAAUGCAGAGGAGAGGGAAAACCAUGAUGUUUAUGAAGAGCAGCUGAACAGACUGGGGAUCUUCCUUCUGCAAGGAUUCUGAGGAGAGAUACGAUAGAGGUCUAUAAAAUCAUAAGUGGCCUGGAGAAUUUAAUAGACGUGACCCAGCUCCCCGGAGCAGAAACAGAAGCGCCCCAGGAAAGAGCUGCUGAAACCUCUGGGAAUGUGGGCAGCAGUGGAUUUUCUGGAGGAGGCAUCCCAAAGCCCUACACACAGCCGAGAACCCUCAAAAUAUGGGGGAAAGAAAGAUUCCUCCAGCUGGGUGGCAUUGGCAGCUGGGUUGUCACCGUGCCUUGAAAAAGCACUUCUGCACAGCAUUUCUCGUGUAAGCAGAAGCUGUUAGCACUGAAAAUCUUCCAGAAAAGGAUUCUCCUGAGCGAGUUUCUUUUGUCAUCCUUCUUAAAGCAACAAUUUCCCAAACACCAGAGCAGAGAGAACUGUGUGGUGAACUUUCUGCUCGGCAGCGUAACGAAUAGGAUCCUGUGUUAACGGGCCCACAGCUCUGAUUCAGCAAGGAAAUUACUGUGUCCCUUCUAAGAGGACAUCACAGCUUGUAACAACCCGUGAGAUUCUGGUGUUGAUCCACUACAAAGCACCUCUUCUCAGGCCUGUGCUUCCCAGAAUCCAGCUGCAUCGUGCAUGUGCUGCACAGCUCAAAUUCAGCUGGGCCACAGCACGGGGCGGCAAAGAAGUUUUUUCCCUCGACUGGGUGCGCUGCACGGCCAAUGCCCUUGCAACCAUGGAAGAAUAGAAAAUCAGCAUGAAAGUGUGCUCUGGGAAACAGAAGUGGCAGCAGAUCUAACACCGUCCUGGACAGCAGAAAAACAAAAGCGAAAGCCAGACAAUAUUGACAAAAAGACACGAAAAGAGGGAGGAGCUGCCCCAGCAUGGUCUUGAAGGUGGUGAAGGAAAGUCUGAUGCUGUGUUUUCCAGUCCUGACUGUGCCCCAGUUGCUUUCUGUCACCUGGAUAUGAGCAGUCCCUUGACUUCAGCUAAUUACCACAUCCCUUGAAGGAGGAGUGAUGCUUCUCCCGAGCUUCUGUGCAUCAUGAGAGAACUGAUCUAUGAGCUCUUCAGUGGUUACUUACAUCAUUCUUGUGUUUCCAGCCGUGUGACUUGACCGCAAGGCUUUCAGAAGUGAUCCAGUUUCUGCGUGGCGCUAACCAUCACUGUGCUUGAGUAUUCCUAGCCAAGGAUCUACUUCUUACCCUCCAGCUGAAAGAAGCUUGGCUUUGCAGGAAAAGUUCCUCCAUCUGGUUCAGCGCUUGGUCACAUGGAUUUUUCCUGGCACAAAUGAGUGGAAAGAGCACUUUGGCAUGGAGGGGGAAUGAGCAAGAGGGUGAAAGCUUUUUCUUCCAACGUGGAAGUCUCCUACUUCACUGCUGCUUUUCCUAAAGAUGAUCGCUGGCUUAUUAUCGAGUGACUUGCUAAUGAAUUAGUUGGGAAGACCCAAGGAAUUCCUCUUGAGCGAGAAACAGAUCCUCAUUGAAAUAGACUCCAGGGAGUUGGUUAGAUGAAUCAGGGCCAUUUUGGUACACUGUAAAGGCAAGGAGAGAUGAGGGCAGAGCAAAGGAAGACAAAAAGAGGAGUAGGUAAGCACCAGUGUCACGUAUAACUUUGCAAAUGUGAAAUAUGAGCAGGCAAAUCUCACUGCUUUUGAGCGAUCCUGUUCUUUGGAAAGACUGUAACCUGCAAGGCACCGGGCGUGACGUUUUGAGGUUGGGAGUAAACACAUUAACAGAAAGGGUUGCAGAAGUGAUGAAACAGUGAAAUAUGCGGUGAAAGAGUUCCUGUGUGAAAAUUAAAUCUAAAUCCAACAUGAACCAAUCUCCCUGCAGUUGGCAAAGUAUAAAGACUUAGGGAAUUAAAGAGACUGCUGGAUCACGGAGUGAAUGUAGUUCCUUUUGGCUGUGAGUUAUUCCAGGGGCUUUCAGGGACAUAACUUGUAUCAGGACCUGGAUUCAUCCUGCUUGGCUCAAGUUGUUUAGUUGAACGAUGCGAUGAGGAGCCCCGUUGUCCUGGGCUGACUCCCUUGCUGUAGGUGCCUCUGGUUUCUGCAGUGUUGAUCUAGGGAGUGGAAGGUGGUGCUUUUCUGAUUCAGGUGCCCUGGUUCAAGAUGGGCUGUGGAUGGGAGAUGGAAAGGUUGGAUGGGGAGAGUUGGAUGCUGAAGAAGGGACUCUGAUAGGUAGACGUAUUAGCAGGG